rnacentral:misc_RNA from 1 species
AUUGCCAAUCACAAUGAAUAUUCAAGUUUUAUUUCUGAUAAUAAACAGCCCACUAUUUCAAAGCACUGCAUCAGGCAUCUAGACAGCCUUUCAAGUGCCAAGAAUAAGAACUCCCUUCAGGAGGCUCUUCCUAUUCUACCACUACAACAUUCCAAUUUUGUUCCUCUUUUUACAUUGACUCUGCUCCAAUAAAUUCCGCUCCAGUUACCCAUUUUAGAACCCGGUUAAUAUUACACAUGUUACAGAGAGACCAGUAGAAUCUUCAAUUUUUUUUUUUUUUUCUCUUUUGGAUCUGCAAGGAUGAACAUAAUCCAGAUGAUAAUGCCAAUAAUGAUCUUCAGAUCCUGUCAAGGAGUGUCCUUUGAUCUUUACUGAUUGAGCAAAGGAUGCAAACAAUUGUAUAUUAUCCUUGACCUUCUAUACACAUCCUUGAUCAGUCAUAGCUUGAGCAAUAGUCAGAAAGGCAGAUAUGGCAGCUCCAUGUACCCAAGCUUUCUGGCUCUCCUUUUUGUUAGCAAAAAAACAUGCCUCCCUUGGGGCUCUUUGGUAUAUCUGUUUCAUUGCUUCCUGCAAUUUAGAUUCAAAGUCCUCAGGGGACCAGUGCAU